AUGGACAUGGAUAAAUCUGGAAACCAUCAUUCUCAGCAAACUGACACAAGAACAGAAAAUCAAACACCACAUGUUCUCUCUCAUAGGUGGGUGUUGAACAAUGAGAACACAUGGACACAGGGAGGGGAGCAUCACACACUGGGGUUUGUUGUGGGGGCUAGGGGAGGGACAGCAGGGGGUGCAGAGGUUGAGGACGGAUAACAUGGGGAGAAAUGCCAGAUAUAGGUGACAGGGAGAUGGAGGCAGCAAACCACUUUGCCACGUAUGGUCCUAUCCAACAGUCUUGCAUGAUCUGCACAUGUACCCCAGAACCAAAAGUACAAUAAUAAAAAAAAUCUUUAACAAAACACUGUCAAACCAAAUCUAAUAGCACAUAGAGAGUUAAUUUACCAUGAUCAAGUAGUCUUUAUUCCUGGGAUGAUGCAAGGGUGGUUCAACAUAUAUAAAUUAAUAAAUGUGAUUAACCAUAUGAACAGAAUUAAAAACAAAAAUCAUGAUCAUCUUAAUAGAUGCAUAAAGUAUUUGAUGUAAUACAUCUCCUCAUGAUAAAAAUUCUCAACAAAUUAGGUAUCAAAUGAACAUACUUUGAUACUUUGAAAUAAUUAGAGCUCUCUAUGACAAACCCACAGGUAAUAGGUAAAUGCUAGAGGCAUUCCCCUUAACAAUAGGAACAAGACAAAACUGUCCACUCUCACCACUCAUAUUGAAUAUAGUGCUAGAAGACUUAACCAGAGCAAUCUGGCAAGAGAAAGAAAUAAAAGAUAUCCACAUAGGAAAAUAAUUAAAUAUCUCCUUCACUACACUUGAAAGAAAAAAAAACUUCUAAAAUUUGUCUGGAACCAAAAACAGAGCCCAAAUAGUCAAAGCAAUCCUAAGCAAAAGGAGCAAAGUUGGAGAGAUCAUAUUAUCUGAUUUCAUACCACACUAUUAAGGCUGCAGUAACAAAAACAGAAUGGUACCAGUACAAAAACAGAAACAUAGACAAAUGCAACAGGAUAGAGAACCCAGAAAUAAAACUGCACACUUACAGCCAUCUGAUCUUCGACAAAGUUGACAAAAAUAAGCAAUGGAGAAUGGAAUUUCUAUUUUAAUGGUGCUGGCAUAGCUGGCUAACCAUAGGCAGAAGACUGAAAGCAGAAUUUUAGUACCAGCCAUUCUGACUAGACUAAGAUAUCUCAUUGUGGUUUUAAUAUUCAUUUAUCUGAUUGUUAGUUACAUGCAGAAUUUUUAUAUACUUUUUAGCAAUUAUUAAGUCUUCUUUUAAAAAUGCAUCUAUUCAUGUGUGUUGCCCACUUUCUAAUGGAAUUAUUUAUUUUGUUAAUGUUUCUGAUUUAAGUUUCUUGUAUAUGUGGAUACUAGUUCAAAGGUUACCUCUUUGUUUAUGCCACUAUAAUACACAGUUAAGCAUUAGUAUUCUUAGGUUUUUAUUUGCACACUUGAGGGGUUUAGGAGUACAGUAACUUUAAAAACAUACAAAAUUCAUCAUUAUACUGGCCACUGGUGGUGGUCAUAAUACACACAUAUCAAGUGUGUUAGCACACAGUCAGUAAACUGAAGCAGUCCUAAGUGUCUGUUACAGUUUUGUAACAUCAAGAAUAACUAGAAAACUUAUUUCAAAGAUCUCUUAGUAUAUUUGACCAAAGAGCUAAACCAUGAAUGAUACUAGUUUUGAACGAAACACUUAAAUUAGUUAAUUAUGGUCCCUCUUAGGUCUGGGUAAAAUUAGAGAGCACAAGAAUAUAUAUUUCUUGGGACUGAGAAGUUUUCCAGAACACAGAUUUUUGUUGCUAAGCCUUGAAAUUUCCAGAAAAAAAGGGGACAAGUUGUUAACAUGAGUUACAUGGUUUUUAGUUUCUAUAAAUCCAUUAUUGACUGUCCCCUCCUCACCCACUCUUAAAUACAUGUACAUUUGGGCAGGAAUACAGGACUUCCUUUGAUGUUUGAUGUACUUUUUAUUUCAAAGCAAUUAAAUCUGAAUAAAGAGUACAUCAAAGGGCAGAUUAGUUUAAGUUUCUUAAAACAUUGCUAAUACUGUCUGGAUUUUUUGAGCAGCCUGCUUCAGAAAUUCUAAAAUGUGAUGAAUGAGCAGUCUAGUCUCAUGCUCUGGAAGUCUUUGGAGUCUCGAGGAGCAAAUAGUGGGAAUAGAAAUGAGCAGCACUGAUAAAUGUCAAGGGGCACUUCUCCCCUAAAAACACAUACAAAGGACCACUUAAUUGUAUAUUGUGGUAGAUUUCCUUCUAUAUGAUAUUUUGGUAGCAACUUUUCCUUCUCACAGAAACUCUUACUUGUGCUCCCGUUGGUUUCUUUGAUUAUCGGCAUCAGUUAGCCUGGUAGUUAAAGAAAGGAUUAGAUACCGAUUAAAUACUUAGGAAUGAAUACAAAAUAGAUCAAAUAAUGAUGGUCAUAAAGAAGAUAUGAAACAAAAUUUUCUUCUAAUUAUAUUACAUUUAUUAAUGUAUUUGGGUCACACUGGAACAAGAAGGCACAAUAUAUCCUACAUGGAGGAGAGAUUAGAUUUUGUAUUUUAUUUUCUAUUCUAAACUUACUGGAACACACUGUUUUUCACUUUUUUUUAUAGAGUUUAUUUUCCUCAGAACUUUCUCAUUUCAUCUAGUUGUUCAAAUUUAUGCUAUACAGUUAUUUGUAACAAUAUUUUUUUGAUUUUUUAAGUUGCACUUUAGGUUCUGGAGUACAUGCGUACAACAUGCAGGAUUGUUGCAUAGGUACACACAUUGCAAUGUGGUUUGCUGCCUCCAUCCCCCCGAUCAC
rnacentral:lncRNA from 1 species